GUACACUCCUGCGGGAGGCAGCAGUGGGGAAUAUUGGACAAUGGGCGCAAGCCUGAUCCAGCCAUGCCGCGUGAGUGAUGAAGGCCCUAGGGUUGUAAAGCUCUUUCACCGGUGAAGAUAAUGACGGUAACCGGAGAAGAAGCCCCGGCUAACUUCGUGCCAGCAGCCGCGGUAAUACGAAGGGGGCUAGCGUUGUUCGGAUUUACUGGGCGUAAAGCGCACGUAGGCGGACUAUUAAGUCAGGGGUGAAAUCCCGGGGCUCAACCCCGGAACUGCCUUUGAUACUGGUAGUCUUGAGUUCGAGAGAGGUGAGUGGAAUUCCGAGUGUAGAGGUGAAAUUCGUAGAUAUUCGGAGGAACACCAGUGGCGAAGGCGGCUCACUGGCUCGAUACUGACGCUGAGGUGCGAAAGCGUGGGGAGCAAACAGGAUUAGAAACCCCAGUAGUCCCAUGA
rnacentral:rRNA from 1 species